rnacentral:lncRNA from 1 species
AUCUAGGAUGUUAAUAGCGGUGCUAUAGCGCGCUAUAGCGCUAUAGCGUAGCGUUUUACCACCUCUCUGCUAUGCUAUAAGACUGCUUUCCGCUAUUUAGAGAAGCGGAAAUAGCGGCCGCUAUUUGCAGGAAAAUAGCGUUUUGUUAGCGGUGGCGUAGCGUUUUGGUAGCGCUAUUUGGCCGCUUUAGCGUUUUGGAGGAAAAAAAAUUGAUGAAAAUCUUUAUUUUGGAAAUAAAUCAUAAGUGAGGGGUAUUUUGCACUUUUCUACACAUCAAAAAGCUACCAACACAUCACAACACGUGAUUUACUUUUCUAUUUGAGUUGUUUCUUCUUUCUUUUCUCACAUCACGCUCUUCUCCUCUGCUCCUUCAACGGACUCCUUCACCAAAUCACCUCUUCUCCUUCAACAUCUCCUUCACCAAAUCGACUCCUCUAUUUCCUUUCUCCAAAUCAACUGCUCUUCUCCUCUUCUUACAAGGUUUGUUCCUUUCUCAAACCUUA